AUAAAUGUUUUGGUCUCGUGCCAAACGAACAUUUGUGUGCACUAUUGUCUGUCUUUGGUAGUUCGAGUUGCCCUUGGAGUUCAACGCUCCGAGGUGCCUACCCUUCGACGAGAUUGAUUUCUUGUCGUGAUAUGGGUUGGGCUACCGCCCUUUUUUGAAAACCUUUUGUAUUUUUUUUGCCUGAACGAAGAUUUAAUCUUGAUUGGUUAAUGAUUUGAAUA
rnacentral:misc_RNA from 1 species